CGUUUACCUUCGCAAUAAUUAUGCUAGUCUGCAACGCAAUCCUGCUUGAGAAAGGACCGAGAGAGGACCUCCUCCGGCAGCCCCUACUACCCGCUUUCCACGAUGCUGCGCGAGAUGAACGGAGGUCCUAUUUCCGGCCGAUAUUUAAAUCCGAGGGGGACCGAAUCCGCUCGACCUUAACCGAAGCGUUCGGGUCCGGCUGUCACAUUCGUGGCGUACCGAAUGCCCGUCUCUCGUGGCGGCGACGGCGACGGCGUACGGCGGUGGCGGCGGGCGGCGUAUAACGCGUUAAUGAAAAUGGCAACGCGCCGCGACGCCAUGCGGCAGCCUCGACGGGGUACGUACGGCCGCAAAUUGCGCUGCUUUAUCAAUCUGAAAUAACAUCAGCACGGAACAACGAGCGACGAUUCGAGACUUACGAGGGCUUCGCCGACCUACGAAAGGAUCACGUUGCGGUAUGGCUGACACAUAGACGGAUGUAUAUCCGGGAGAUACCAUGACUACAAGAGCCUACGGACGUUCCGCCUUGAUAAACAACAUAUUUUCAGUUUGCAGCAGAGGCUAGCGAAAGAAUUAAUUCGCAAAACAAAUAACAUAGAACACGCAGCAACUUGGAAAUACACAGGAAACCUUCAGAAUAGGUCAAUAAGAAAUAUUUCUAGGAGAGCAGUGUACUUAUUGUGUUAAAUUUGCUGCAAAAACUGCAUUAAUAAAAAAACAUUGUAAAAAGAGAAAGAUAUUUUUAGGGGAUAUUAGUAUUUUGUUUAUGCUAUCCAUUCGGUCUAUCUAAACAUUGUAUAUUCUGUCACAUGUUAAGAUAAAGUAUUUAACUUAUUCUUCAUAAGAUUAUUUUUAAGUUCACUUUAACUUCUUUAAUGUGUGUGUGCAUUUACAUAUUUGUUUUAAAGAUAAUGGUAAACAUUUGAUCUUCUAAAAGUUUGUUUUGUGUUAAUUUGUGUAAUUAUUUUAAGAUGAUUUCUGAUGUGCUUAAAAAAACAGUAGUGUAACAAUACAAAAAUAGAAUAGAUAAUAUUUCAACUUAAUAUUUCAACGUUUAGUUAAGUUAUCUUUUUAAAUGGCUUUUACAGUACUGAUUAUUUUACAAUUGCGACAUUCUACUUUUUAAUUUUGUAUAUGCGCACCUCAAUAAAUAAAUAGUAGCGUGCAAGGCAUCUAGGAUGUGAUAGUAAAGCUCCUGCUUAUCCCAUUGUGAUUAAGUCAUAAGUCUAUACUUAGUAAUAUCAACGUUGAAACUAAAUCUAGAUCUAAAGUUUGUGAAAUUUACAUUAAGGUUCUCUCCGCUCUUUACAACGGCCAUAUUGGAUUAUGUCCUUUUAUGAUAGUUAAUUAAUUGUUUAUAACAAUUCAUUAUUCUACGUUCUAUAAAUUUAUCCCAUUGAAUAUGAGUUGUGACAUGCGCAAACUAAUUUAUUUAUUCGCAUGGGACGCAGAAAAAAUAUUCCAUAUGGUUAUUUUGUACAUCUGAUGUCAUGAUCCAAUGUCUGUAAUGAGACGAAGAGCCCUAUAAACAUAAUUAAAGAAAAGUGAA